rnacentral:lncRNA from 1 species
ACUUGUUAUUUCUUGAUGGGGCUUGACCUCUGUGCUGUUAUCUGGGCUCUCUCGGGUGACUGCAGUCAGUUAGCUGCUCAGCUGUGUCUUGUGAUCCAGGAUGGCCUCCCACACAGGACAGGAGCUCAUGGGGAUGGCUUGGAUAGCUGGUUCACUCUCUCCACGUGGCCUUUACACUACGACAGUCUCAGGAAUGCAUUAGGAUGACAGCAAAAGCUGCAAGACCUUGUGCAGUUGCUUCUGCCAUAUUUAAUUGGUCAAAGCCUGACAUAAAGCCAGCCCAGACCCCAGACCUCAGACCCCAGACUCUUUUUUUGUUGUACAAGCAUCACCACUCUCUAGUGCCAGAAUAUUUUCAUCCCUCCAAAACUAAACCAAUACUCAUUACUUCUCUGAUUCCUGUCAACCCCUAGCCUCCAUUAACCACUCAUUUGUUUUCUGUCUUUGUGGAUUUGCCUAUUCUGGAUAUUU